rnacentral:rRNA from 1 species
GAACGGGUGAGUAACACGUGGGUGAUCUGCCCUGCACUUUGGGAUAAGCCUGGGAAACUGGGUCUAAUACCGGAUAGGACUACGCGAUGCAUGUCGUGUGGUGGAAAGCUUUUGCGGUGUGGGAUGGGCCCGCGGCCUAUCAGCUUGUUGGUGGGGUGAUGGCCUACCAAGGCGACGACGGGUAGCCGGCCUGAGAGGGUGUCCGGCCACACUGGGACUGAGAUACGGCCCAGACUCCUACGGGAGGCAGCAGUGGGGAAUAUUGCACAAUGGGCGCAAGCCUGAUGCAGCGACGCCGCGUGGGGGAUGACGGCCUUCGGGUUGUAAACCCCUUUCAGCACAGACGAAGCGCAAGUGACGGUAUGUGCAGAAGAAGCACCGGCCAACUACGUGCCAGCAGCCGCGGUAAUACGUAGGGUGCGAGCGUUGUCCGGAAUUACUGGGCGUAAAGAGCUCGUAGGUGGUUUGUCGCGUUGUUCGUGAAAACUCACAGCUUAACUGUGGGCGUGCGGGCGAUACGGGCAGACUGGAGUACUGCAGGGGAGACUGGAAUUCCUGGUGUAGCGGUGGAAUGCGCAGAUAUCAGGAGGAACACCGGUGGCGAAGGCGGGUCUCUGGGCAGUAACUGACGCUGAGGAGCGAAAGCGUGGGGAGCGAACAGGAUUAGAUACCCUGGUAGUCCACGCCGUAAACGGUGGGUACUAGGUGUGGGUUUCCUUCCUUGGGAUCCGUGCCGUAGCUAACGCAUUAAGUACCCCGCCUGGGGAGUACGGCCGCAAGGCUAAAACUCAAAGGAAUU